rnacentral:rRNA from 1 species
AGCAGUAGCCGCGGGAAUACAGAGGGUGCGAGCGUUAAUUGGAUUUACUGGGCGUAAAGCGUGCGUAGGCGGCUUCUUAAGUCGGAUGUGAAAUCCCUGAGCUUAACUUAGGAAUUGCAUUCGAUACUGGGAAGCUAGAGUAUGGGAGAGGAUGGUAGAAUUCCAGGUGUAGCGGUGAAAUGCGUAGAGAUUUGGAGGAAUACCGAUGGCGAAGGCAGCCAUCUGGCCUAAUACUGACGCUGAGGUACGAAAGCAUGGGGAGCAAACAGGAUUAGAUACCCCUGUAGUCCCUGUCUCUUAUAC